rnacentral:rRNA from 1 species
CCUAACGGCCAUACCACCCUGAAAGCGCCCGAUCUCGUCUGAAUCUCGGAAGCUAAGCAGGGACGGGCCUGGUUUAGUACCUGGAUGGGAGACCGCCUGGGAAUACCAGGUGUUGUAGGCU